CCUACGGGAGGCUGCAGUGAGGAAUAUUGGUCAAUGGACGAGAGUCUGAACCAGCCAAGUAGCGUGAAGGAUGACUGCUUUAUGGGUUGUAACCUUUUUUUAUAAAGGAAUAAAACGAGGCACGUGUGCCUGUUUGCACGUACUUUAUGAAUAAGGAUCGGCUAACUACGUGCCAGCAGCCGCGGUAAUACGGAGGAUCUGAGCGUUAUCCGGAUUUAUUGGGUUUAAAGGGAGCGUAGAUGGGUUGUUAAGUCAGUAGUGAAAGUUUGGGGCUCAACCGUAAAAUUGCAAUUGAUACUGGCAGUCUUGAGUACAGUUGAGGUAAGCGGAAUUCGUGGUGUAGCGGUGAAAUGCUUAGAUAUCACGAAGAACCCCGAUUGCGAAGGCAGCUUACUAAGCUGUGACUGACAUUGAGGCUCGAAAGUGUGGGUAUCAAACAGGAUUAGAUACCCUGGUAGUC
rnacentral:rRNA from 1 species